GUAUUCAUAUAAUUCCAUUUGGAGGUUAUGUUCGACUAUGCUUCCCAGCUCUCAAUCGUGUUGUUGUGUUUAAGGGAAAGAAUAAUACUUUUCAGCAACUACAUUGAUUCUGUGCAGCCGGUUUACGUGGAUUCGUGGAUUGCGGUCUCUUCUUCUUGUAGACUCUGACCUCUGUUUUUCUUGUUCUCUUUGGAAUGGCUUGGCUAGCGGUUUUAGCGCCUCAAUUGCGACAGAAUUGUGGUGUAGGCUUUCAAUUGGAUUCAGGUAGCGAUGGCUCGGUGGUUCGGCCAGAACGAUAUAGUAAAGGAGGAAACAACCCACAAAAGGAAACCCAUAACAACUAGCUUAAGGAAACUGGAGGGCAGGGAAGACCAUCGUUCCUGAGCACCAUAGUCAAGGCUGGUGGUGGCCUGUUGGCCCAUCUGGAGAGACCCACCGACCGCUUUCCAAGCGAGGCUGCUGUAUGAGCUGCCAUAUUCGCUUCACCGGGAAUCCAUUCCCAGAAGAUCCGAUUGAAGAAGGUACUUCUCCAUCUAAUCUCAUCGAUGAUUGAUGAGGUUUUCCAGUUUCUGCAGUCAUUGUUGGAUUUCAGAUCAGUUAUAACCUCCAAAGAAUCUGAUUCAAUUCGAACAUUAUGCCAUUAUGAUUGCUUCGAUCCACUCGCAAUCGGGCUUUCCAGAUUGCCCAGCACAAAAAACAGAUUAAGGUCAGUACGCUUUUCUUCUCUUUAGCUAUGGAAUGAAGUUCAGCAAUUCCCAAUAACCAAAUGUCUAUAGAAAUGACCUGUUGUUUAUUAAUUCUGAGACCCAAAGGGGAUCCAAACCAGAUAGCAUCAACCCAUGGGCAAAGAAGUAGAACAUGCUCCAUAGUUUCUGUAAACUCUCCACAUAUAGGGCAAAGAGGGUUUGUAGUUAGUUUUCUUCGCAAGAGGUUUAGGAAGGAUGGAGUUGCUCCAUUUAAAAUCCUCCAGAAGAACAGUCUAAUCUUAGGGAGGGUAGGAAGUUUCCAGAGUAACUUCCAGCAUUUCGGGUCCACCGAAUGAUGAGAUGGUCCUAUGCUGGGAGAAGAAGACUUAAAGAGUCAAGUGAAUGAAUCCAAUGAUACCCUGAUUUCACAGUGUAGCAACCAGACUUGUUCCAAGGCCAGAUUAGGCGAUCAUGACCUCCCCUUCUUCCUAUAGGAAUAGCCCGAAUAUGAGUGAUAACUUCAGGUUGUAGGAUAUGAAGAAUAUGAUCCAAAGCCCACGUUCUAGUAUCCCAGUCAAUUAACUCACUGACCAGAGUAGGAGCACUACUUGGGACAGUCCCAUUAACUACUAUCAACCCAUUAUUAGGACGGGGAAUCCAUCUAUCAGACCAGAUAUUAAUAGAAGAGCCAUCGAUGAAUUGCCAGCAAGAACCAUUAAGAAGAACAUCCCUUGCUUCAAUUAAACUUGACCAUCCCCAAGAUGCACGGUGACCUUUAAUUGCCUUAGUGAAGUCACAAUCAGGGUAGUAUCUCGCCUUAAGCACUUUGGCCCAUUGUGAAUCCAGGUCUUGCAAGAGUCUCCAGCAUUGCUUUGCCAGAAGGGAGAGAUUAAAAUGGUGUAGAUCUCUGAACCCAAUUCCGCCCUCAGACUUUGCCCUGCCCAAAUAACUCCAACUCUUCCAAUGAAUCUUAGGACCCGAGUCUGUAGAACCCCACCAGAAGUUACUCAAGGCUGAGUUAAUUUCCUCGCAGACUCCUUUAGGAAACAUGAAACAGGCCAUUGGAUAGGAUGGGACAGCCAACGCUAUAGAUUUGAGCAAAACUUCUUUCCCAGCAAGAGAGAGAGACUUCUGCUUCCAACCCUCCAGUUCUAGGAUUCUAGCUGGCAAUACUGAAAGCAAAGAUAAUGUUAAUUUGAUACUAGUCAAAUUUGAGUAAAAAAAAAAGUGAUCUGAAUAUUAUGUUCAUAUAAUGGGAUGAUCCUUGAACGGAGUUCAAGGGUUUUGAUUGUCGAGCUUACAUACAAUUCUUCAAAUUAGACAAAAAAAGGGAUCAAGUUAGUCAACUUAUAUAUCAUGAAGGAGCAAAAAAGUAGUAAACCCAAAUGUGUCGAAAGAUUGUGUGAUGGAGAAACUGACACUGUUAGCCUGACGUCCAAUCUUGGAGGGGAAGGGGGGCAUCUGUCGACAAUAUCCAAAUCGAAGUUAAGGUCCAGUUUAGCUGAAAUGCAUGUUAGGGCUAGUGUGUUUGGCAAUCCAAGCGAAGGCUCAUUGGCUUCAAGAGGGUCCAAUUUCACUUCAAUUGGUAGAAUCCCAAUUAGUUAAUGGAAUUCCUAUAUCUUUAUGGAGUCCGACUCCGGUGGGUUUAAGCUUUUCCUAAUCCUAGAAGAAGAUAGGCUCAUGCAUGUGUACUCCUGGCCAGUUAAGGACUAGAUAUAUAGUUGGGCAGUUGGCUAUAUAUAGUUCCCCCGAGUGUAGUAUUAUCAGUUCUUGUUCAUGCUAGCUUAAUUAAUUAGCGCAUGCAUGUCGUCGACACAAGAGAGGCAUCUAUUUUGCUGCAAAGAGAAACCGCACUACCGUUACAAUCAAGAUACCGGAUAAACAUCUUUCCGAUAAUAUUAUCUCUCUCAAAGCAAACAUUCAUUUGCAAAAGAGAUGAAGGAAUUAUCUGUUAUCGACCAAAUUUGAUGACUAAAACACAAACAUCUGUCAGUCUCUCUCGUCUUCAAAAUACGAGAGCGAAUAAGAAGAUUGUGGCCCAGCGGCUUUUGAGCAUUGGUGUCCCAGAAGAGGAGGAGCCAACUAUUACUGAAGAAAUAUUUAAGCAGGUUGAUGUAGCCAUCCCCGAGCUGCCUCUAGUUGUGAUAAUAGUGGACGUGACCGUAUUGGAUUCGUUUGAGGAUGAUCCUGAUUACAUUAGUUGGAGUACAGAGAUUAUUAGGGAAGGAAUUGAAAUUUUUAUAUCGUAUAGUUUUUCCAAUGAUCACGACACCAAUAAGCGUAUUCCUGCAGCUAUAUCAUCAAUUAAUGAAUUGGUAAAACUGAGGUUUGAUGGUUUGGAAAAGGCUACUCUCAUACAAACCCCAUCUUGUGCCAUUUGUUUGGAGGAUUUUGCACAAACCGCUAAUAAGCUAUUACUAGUUUGCCCUGCACACACCAUUAUCAUCUUGCUUGCAUUGUUAAGAGCCUGGAGGUCAGCCACAGGUGUCCUUGUGUCGAGACCCAAUGCCAAUGGUUGUAGAAAUAGGUGGAAAGAACCGACAUGUUGCUGCAUAUAGCUAUAUAUGAAGCUUAUUUUGAUCAAAUUCAUCAAUCUUAUCUAGCAUGCUGUACACAACGUUUUGUUGUACUGGUGAUUUGGAGAACUGUUUCCUUAACAGACUAGGAAUGGCUAUAUCCGUGGCAUAUACUUGAAUUCCAUAUAGCCCUACCUUUGGUAAAAGGGUGGUUUUGCUGAGCAUUCAAUUCAAGUCUUCUGCUGGACAUGCUAGGUUUUUGGAGGUGAGUUUUGUUAUAUGUGUUUCCUUUCCUGAUUAUUUUAGAUGUAUUCAAUUAUUUUCAUUAGACUAAAAUGUAAUGGAUUAAUUUGUGCGCUUUUGUUUUACGCGGCAGGGGGAUUAUUAUCUACACAUUAUUAUUUGAGUUGAUAAAUUUCUGUUCCUCUUCCUGAAUCUAUAACAACUGAUCGAUAUGGUUAUAGGUUCCUUUUUUCUACUGAAAUGGUUGGACGGUAUAUGUUCAAAAUUGAAAGCACCUGGCCGGUGGUCACUAGCCUUCAGGUGAUUUCAAGGUUGCCAUACUUAAUUAAAAACUUCAGUAUACAUGUCAAAAGUUAGCUAAUUUCUCAUAGAAUUCUACUAGCCCAGAAUGCUAUCCAAUGAUAUGUGAGCAACACGGGCGGUUACAGUAGUGUUGAAAGUACUGCCAUUCCAACUUUUAAAGAUUUGGCUAUUCUAUUCAAAUAGUAAAACUUGAUGACUAAUUGACUCAUGCAGUUUACCAUAUAGUUGGCCUAAGAUCUUGCCGUUGGUGUUCUUGGAACGCCAAGCAUUUCAUAUUAUAAGCAAAAUCAAAAUGUUUCUGUUGUGGACCUCUAGCCCAGCUUUAUCUUAUCAGAGUUGUUACUUUAUAUACUUGUGUGUGUAUGCACUUAUUUCUUACAACUUUUUGUUUAAGAUAACAUCUUUACUUAGUAUUGAACACUUACUAAAUCUAGCUAUAUAUAUAUAUAUAUAUAUAUAUAGAGAGAGAGAGAGAGAGAGAGAGAGAGUUGAUCCCAUUAUUGCACUUGCAAAUAUAUAACAGCUUGUAUAGUGUGUGUGUGUGUGUGUGUGUAGAGUUGAUCCCAUUAUUGCACUUGCAAAUAUAUAACAGCUUGUAUAGUGUACUAACUUCUGAAUAUCCUCCCAUGGCAAACUCAUUUUACAAGGGUAAGACCAAAAUUCAUAUUCAGAGUAGCCAAUUUCCAAUUGAUUUGAGAAAGUUGUCGUGAUGCAGAGGAAGAGAAAUGAAAAAAAAAGUGCAAGAGGUCAAGAUGUGACCAUGGUCAGGAGAGCACCAAAGUGUCCACUAAGGGUUGACAUACCCAUUGUGACCCCGAUGAGUCUUGGACUAGUGAAGUAUGCAGGCCAAGCCUGGUGUGACUUAUCAUCCUUGAGGUGGGUCAGUUCAGGAGCUGCACCAUUGAGCAAAGAAGUGGCUGAUGAGUUCAGACUGAAGUUUCCUUGGGUUGUUGAGGCCGGGGUAUGGCCUAACUGUAAGUUUCGGGGCAGCAACUUUCUUUAUUUCCAAUGAACAAGACACACAGGCUCAUGCGGGCAUCUGGUUCCAAGAUUCGCUGCUAAGAUUGUGGAUAUUGAAACUGGACAGGCUUUGGGACCUUAUAAGGAAAAGGAGAGUUGUGGCUGAAGAGUCCAACUAUAAUGAAAGAGUAUCUGGGGAAUGUGGUAGCAACCAUUGCUAGUAUUGAUGAAGAUGGGUGGUUAAAAACUGAUGAUCUUUGUUAUUUUGAUGAGGGAUGGACUGCUUUACAUUGUUGAUCGUAUCAACGAGUUCAUCAAGCAUAAUGGAUAUCAGGUUGCUCCUGCAGAAUUGGAAGCAAUUCUCUUGAGCCAUCUCAAAUUCUUGAUGCUGCUGUCGUACCGGUUGAAGAUGAAGAAGUAGGACAAAUACCAAUGGCAUAUGUGGUGAGAGCAGCUAGUACUGAACUGAUCACUGAAGACCAAGUGGCCCCCUACAAAAAAGUCAAAAAGUUGGGUUUAUAUCUGCCAUUCCAAGAUCAGCUGCAAGCAAAAUCUUGAGGAAGGAACUUGUUGGUUUACAAAGCAAACAGCAAAUCGUCUCCAGACUAUAAUGCCUUUUCCUGCACGCCAACUUCUUUCAUAGAAGAUAGAGAGCAAGUCAUUUUUAGAAAGUGAAAUGUCUGAUGGACUGUGAGCAAACAUAUAUUGCUCACUAACCAAAUAUCAUUUUAUCAAUAUUCAAGCCUGUACGUAGCUAGGAGAAAGUAAUUUCUAUUCUAAGACAGGUUAGCUACUGUAAACUACUUUACAGGAUUUGAAGCAACAUAAUUAAUGAGAGGUCCUAAAGA